ACCCACUAAGUUAACUAGGUAAAAUUAACCUAGUUAGUAAUGAGUAACUAAAUAAUAAACUAUGGGUUAUAGUUUCAUUUAUGAAUCUCUAAACUUGAGGGGCUAAACAUGGGCAACUAGAGAAGUGUUUUAUUAAAACACUUAAAUAAAUAAAAAAACACAUACAUGUGUGUACGUAUGCGAUCAGAAGAAGGAGCCAGGAGAGCUCAAACCCUAGUUCAACAAAUCCUCCAAAUCGAAGCUCAAAUCAAGCCCGAAUCGUCUGCAUGAUUACAAAUUCGUGAUCGCCUAGUCGUGGGGAUCAUAAGUUGACUCUAAACAAGCUAGGUGGGAGCUUGAAAAGGAACAGGUCAAACGGAUCAUGGAUGCGAAGAAUGUUUGCGCGGACGCGAGGGUAAAACGGCUUAUGGAAUUUACGUGGCUAUGAAUCAGCAAAUUAUUAAGGCAAGGUAUUAAAACGGGUCAAUACUUUGACCCGCGCCAGGUACGCGUAAAUUUGGUGGAAGAUAUGUGAAUACCUUAAUGUAGAAAAAUGACAUGUGAAAGUAGAGAGUGGGAUUUAAACUUAAAUGAUUAAAUCCUCUCUAACGGGUCAAAAUAUGCAUUUAAGCGUAGACGGGUCAAAAUCUUGUAAAAAGGUAAUAAGCCUAAUGCAUAAAAGUCUCAAAAUUUAUUAAGCCGGAUGUCGGACUUUAACUCCAUAUGAUGGAGAAUCAAAUUACAAACAUGUAGGAAGAAAUGGUAGGUCAAACGGACAAGCGAAUUUAAAGAUACGAAAGAUUUCGUGUCAAUUACGGCCAAAUGGAAAGGCUGAAUGCAGGGGCCACCAUAACUUACGGUGUCACCGUAAGUUACGGUGGAGCUGAAUUAUUUACGGUGGUUGCCUACUGUUGUACGGUAGGAAAAUUUUAUUACAGAGGCCACCGUAACUUACGGUGCCACCGUAAGUUACGUUGGAGGUCAUUUUCAAAUUUUUGUUUUUGGAAUCAAUGGUUUCCCGGACUCGUUUGGACACGUUUUAAAGCCCGUAAGACUAAAGCAUUUCGUGUUUAUGAAAUGUAGGUACAUUUUGGAUGCCGGAAGACGAUCAAGCUCGACGAAGGACCGAACACGAUAUAGAUACAUGCUUCCGCACUUUAACACAUUGCAAAUAUUAAACAACGAAUUCAACCACGUUAUGUAGAAUAACUUAUGAAUUGUAAAAGUUUUAAUAAAUUCGUAUUUUUAUAGUAUGUGUAGGCUUAACUACACAUCUAA